UGGUAGCUCAGUUGGAAGAGCAUGAGGCUCUUAAUCUCAUGGCCCUGGGUUUGAGCCCCACAUUGGCAAAA
rnacentral:tRNA from 1 species